AUUGAACGCUGGCGGCAGGCCUAACACAUGCAAGUCGAGCGGAUGAAGGGUGCUUGCUCCUGGAUUCCGCGGCGGACGGGUGUGUAAUGCCUAGGAAUCUCCCUGCCUGUGGGGGGUAACGUCCAGAAAAGGGCGCUGAUACUGCCUACGUCCUGCGGGUGCAGCAUGGGGGUCGUCGGAAAGUACGGUCUGAGGUGGAUGGAGGUGGGAUUUGCUAGCUGGUGGGGUGAGGGCCUGCCUAGGCGAGGAUCGGUAGCUGGUCUGAGAGGGUGAUCGGCCACACUGGAACGGAGACACGGUCCAGACUCCUACGGGAGGCAGCAGUGGGGAAUAGUGGACAACGGGCGAAAGCCUGGUCCAGCGAUGCCGCGUGUGUGAAGAAGGUCUUCGGAUUGUAAAGCAGUCUUAGUUGGGGGAAACGGCAGUAAGUUAAUACCUUGCUGGUUUGACGUUACCAACAGAAUAAGCACCGGCUAACUACGUG
rnacentral:rRNA from 1 species